UUACGCAGUCGUUUCUCC
rnacentral:piRNA from 1 species